rnacentral:rRNA from 1 species
CCUACGGGGGGCUGCAGUGGGGAAUAUUGGACAAUGGGGGCAACCCUGAUCCAGCCAUGCCGCGUGUGUGAAGAAGGCCCUCGGGUUGUAAAGCACUUUCAGUGAGGAAGAACGCCUGGUGGUUAAUACCCAUCAGGAAAGACAUCACUCACAGAAGAAGCACCGGCUAACUCCGUGCCAGCAGCCGCGGUAAUACGGAGGGUGCGAGCGUUAAUCGGAAUUACUGGGCGUAAAGCGCGCGUAGGUGGCUUGAUAAGCCGGUUGUGAAAGCCCCGGGCUCAACCUGGGAACGGCAUCCGGAACUGUCAAGCUAGAGUGAAGGAGAGGAAGGUAGAAUUCCCGGUGUAGCGGUGAAAUGCGUAGAGAUCGGGAGGAAUACCAGUGGCGAAGGCGGCCUUCUGGACUGACACUGACACUGAGGUGCGAAAGCGUGGGUAGCAAACAGGAUUAGAUACCCUAGUAGUC